GUGCCAGCAGCCGCGGUAAUACGGGGGGGGCAAGCGUUGUUCGGAAUUACUGGGCGUAAAGGGCGCGUAGGCGGUCUACUAAGUUGGAUGUGAAAACUCUGGGCUUAACCCAGAGCCUGCAUUCAAAACUGAUAGGCUGGAGUUCUGGAGGGGAUAGCGGAAUUCCUGGUGUAGCGGUGAAAUGCGUAGAUAUCAGGAGGAACACCGGUGGCGAAGGCGGCUAUCUGGACAGAAACUGACGCUGAGGCGCGAAAGCUAGGGGAGCAAACAGGAUUAGAUACCCGCGUAGUCC
rnacentral:rRNA from 1 species